rnacentral:piRNA from 1 species
UCCUUGACGAUGUCGUGGGAUGCCAGG